GAUGAACGCUGGCGGCGUGCCUAAUACAUGCAAGUCGAGCGAACAGACGAGGAGCUUGCUCCUCUGACGUUAGCGGCGGACGGGUGAGUAACACGUGGAUAACCUACCUAUAAGACUGGGAUAACUUCGGGAAACCGGAGCUAAUACCGGAUAAUAUAUUGAACCGCAUGGUUCAAUAGUGAAAGACGGUUUUGCUGUCACUUAUAGAUGGAUCCGCGCCGCAUUAGCUAGUUGGUAAGGUAACGGCUUACCAAGGCGACGAUGCGUAGCCGACCUGAGAGGGUGAUCGGCCAAACUGGAACUGAGACACGGUCCAGACUCCUACGGGAGGCAGCAGUAGGGAAUCUUCCGCAAUGGGCGGAAGCCUGACGGAGCAAAGCCGCGUGAGUGAAGAAGGUCUUCGGAUCGUAAAACUCUGUUAUUAGGGAAGAAAAAAAGUGUAAGUAACUAUGCACGUCUUGACGGUACCUAAACAGAAAGCCACGGCUAACUACGUG
rnacentral:rRNA from 1 species